rnacentral:rRNA from 1 species
AGCAGCCGCGGUAAUUCCAGCUCCAAUAGCGUAUAUUAAAGUUGUUGCAGUUAAAAAGCUCGUAGUUGAAUUUCGAGAUCAAAUUGUUGGUCGUGCCUCGGUACGUACUGGCAUUAUUGAUUUCUCCCUUCUGAAGAACCACGAUGUCAUUAAUUUGGUGUCGUGGGGAAUCAGGACCGUUACUUUGAAAAAAUUAGAGUGUUUAAAGCAGGCUCACGCUUGAAUACAUUAGCAUGGAAUAAUGAAAUAGGACGUUUGAUUCUAUUUUGUUGGUUUCUAGGAUCGACGUAAUGAUUAAUAGGGAUAGUUGGGGGCAUUAGUAUUCAAUUGUCAGAGGUGAAAUUCUUGGAUUUAUUGAAGACUAAACUACUGCGAAAAGCAUUUGCCAAGGAUGUUUUCAUUAAUCAAGAACGAAAGUUAGGGGAUCGAAGACGAUCAGAUACCGUCGUAGUCUUAACCAUAAACUAUGCCGACUAGGGAUCGGAUGAUGU